rnacentral:rRNA from 1 species
AUUGAACGCUGUCGGCAGGCCUAACACAUGCAAGUCGAUCGGAGCGGCGGACGGGUGAGUACUGCCUAGACAUCGGCCUGGUAGUGGGGGGUAACGUCCGGCAACGGGCGCUAGUAACGCAUACUUUCAGAUGCACCUCGGGCGGAUUAACUCGUUGGAGGGGUAAAGGCCUACCAAGGCGACGAUACGUACCUGGUCUGAGAGGAUGAUCAGUCACACUGGAACUGAGACACGGUCCAGACUCCUACGGGAGGCAGCAGUGGGGAAUAUUGGACAAUGGGCGAAAGCCUGAUCCAGCCAUGCCGCGUGUGUGAAGAAGGUCUUCGGAUUGUAAAGCACUUUAAGUUGGGAGGCGUUACCAACAGAAUAAGCACCGGCUAACUUCGUGCCAGCAGCCGCGGUAAUAC